CAGAUCUUUGGAAAAAAGGACUGCUAUUCAUCCCAAAAUGAUGAGGGCAGGCUGACUGGAAUGGAAAAUGGGAGGACAACCUCGUAAAAUACAAUGAACUUGAGCCGUUAACAUCCCAAGGAGUGUGAUGAAAAACCACAGGCUAAAUUUUCCUGUGAGAGAAAGACUUUCAUACAGACAAGAACAAAGACUUGUUACCUGAUGGAAAAGACUAGAGUUUAGAUAACAAAGAGUUGAGUUAUCCUUUAGUAACCUGGACCUGCUGGUUGGAGUUGCUCUGUUCCCUGCAGUCUUGCUUAUGUUGGCCGUUGGCCUCAUGUGGCUUGUGACUAGAACCUACAUUAAGAAGAAAAAUUCUCUGGGUCAGAGUGUGGCUCCACAGGAGCACCUGCCUUAGAGCACCUGCUUUUGACCUCACGGACCUCUGCUAACACCUUCCCUUCAACUGCUACCAGCCUAAGCCCCAUGCCAGGGUUCCACAGGGUGCGCUCAAUGCAAGAAUGUUCCUCAGAACAGGCUCUGCAGCUGUGGGCGGAGCAAUCAGAGAAGCUCUGAGGUUAGUUGCUGCCUCUAGAAAGGGUGUGAGUAAAAGACCACAUCCUUUGGAGGACAAACUUCACUGUGCCACCAAAUCACACACAUGAGCUUAGAAAGAACUACCUUGAUUAUGAUCCUGUCACUUCUGUUCUCCAUGCUUCCAACUGUGUCCUGGGGAGAAGGCCUAUUUGCUGGGGGGCGGUGGAGAGGGGGUGUCUUGCCUCACGACUCAGCCUAUAGUCCCAGCAAUGGACUGAGGUCGCCUUCUGGUGACCCAGACACUUCAGAUGAUGAGUGUGGUCCAUGGGAAGUGUCCGGAGCAGCAGGAAGCAUGUGGUACUUACCUUCCAAGUUGAGGGAGUUUAUUGAUGGACGGAUUAGAGACCUGUUAACAUGGUUUAGAAAACUCAACCUCAGGAUUUUUCUCCCUUUUUACAGGAAAAGAAACUCCCCUAAAAGUAGUGGGUGAGAACUCUUGGGUUUUUUUCCCCCUUCAUCCUUGGUUGUAUUUUAUUGGACUAUAAAAUUUUAUUUAUGGAGAGA